CACUGUUAUUUCUCCCUUAAUUCUCUCCACAGCCCCACGAGGUAGGUGCUGCCAUGAGCCCUAUUUUCCAGAUGAGGAAAAUUGAGGCUUAGAAACAGUUAAGUGGCCCGUCCCAGAUCACAUGGCCGCAUUAGAAAUGCAGUGAUAAGGAAGAAAGAGACUCUUCCAUGGAGAAAGACAACAUGUGGCAGAUAAAUAAAAGGUUUGUGUUCCGAGGCUCAGUUGUCUGGGGCACGAGUGCUUGAAGGAGAAGAGAAGAGAAAAGCACACUGGAAUGCUUGCACACGUGCUCCGGCAAGUUUGCAUCUGACUCUCAAGGCUGUUUUGUCACCUGAUCUCCCAGUGACUCUGAGAUGUGUGAUGAGUCCGGCUCAAGGAGUGGGGAGCUCAGGGGCAUGCCCACUGCCACUCAGCAGGUGAGUGACAAUCUCAAGUCAGGCAGUAUUCCAGACAGAAACCAAGAUGUGCUCACAGAGAGUUCAUUCGCUCAUUCAGCAAAUAUUCAUUGAGUAUCAACUACAUACGGGACACCGCUCUGGGCUCUAUUCACGGUAGUGAACAAAUCAGACCAAAACACAUGCCC
rnacentral:lncRNA from 1 species